rnacentral:rRNA from 1 species
GGUUAAGCGACUAAGCGUACACGGUGGAUGCCCUGGCAGUCAGAGGCGAUGAAGGACGUGCUAAUCUGCGAAAAGCGUCGGUAAGGUGAUAUGAACCGUUAUAACCGGCGAUGUCCGAAUGGGGAAACCCAGUGUGAUUCGUCACACUAUCGUUAACUGAAUACAUAGGUUAACGAGGCGAACCGGGGGAACUGAAACAUCUAAGUACCCCGAGGAAAAGAAAUCAACCGAGAUUCCCCCAGUAGCGGCGAGCGAACGGGGAGCAGCCCAGAGUCUGAAUCAGCUUGUGUGUUAGUGGAACGGUCUGGAAAGUCCGACGGUACAGGGUGAUAGUCCCGUACACCAAAAUGCACAGGUUGUGAACUCGAAGAGUAGGGCGGGACACGUGGUAUCCUGUCUGAAUAUGGGGGGACCAUCCUCCAAGGCUAAAUACUCCUGACUGACCGAUAGUGAACCAGUACCGUGAGGGAAAGGCGAAAAGAACCCCGGCGAGGGGAGUGAAAAAGAACCUGAAACCGUGUACGUACAAGCAGUGGGAGCACCUUCGGGUGUGACUGCGUACCUUUUGUAUAAUGGGUCAGCGACUUAUAUUCUGUAGCAAGGUUAACCGUAUAGGGGAGCCGCAGGGAAACCGAGUCUUAACUGGGCGUUAAGUUGCAGGGUAUAGACCCGAAACCCGGUGAUCUAGCCAUGGGCAGGUUGAAGGUUGGGUAACACUAACUGGAGGACCGAACCGACUAAUGUUGAAAAAUUAGCGGAUGACUUGUGGCUGGGGGUGAAAGGCCAAUCAAACCGGGAGAUAGCUGGUUCUCCCCGAAAGCUAUUUAGGUAGCGCCUCGUGAAUUCAUCUUCGGGGGUAGAGCACUGUUUCGGCUAGGGGUCAUCCCGACUUACCAACCCGAUGCAAACUACGAAUACCGAAGAAUGUUAUCACGGGAGACACACGGCGGGUGCUAACGUCCGUCGUGAAGAGGGAAACAACCCAGACCGCCAGCUAAGGUCCCAAAGUCAUGGUUAAGUGGGAAACGAUGUGGGAAGGCACAGACAGCCAGGAUGUUGGCUUAGAAGCAGCCAUCAUUUAAAGAAAGCGUAAUAGCUCACUGGUCGAGUCGGCCUGCGCGGAAGAUGUAACGGGGCUAAACCAUGCACCGAAGCUGCGGCAGCGACACUAUGUGUUGUUGGGUAGGGGAGCGUUCUGUAAGCCUGCGAAGGUGUGCUGUGAGGCAUGCUGGAGGUAUCAGAAGUGCGAAUGCUGACAUAAGUAACGAUAAAGCGGGUGAAAAGCCCGCUCGCCGGAAGACCAAGGGUUCCUGUCCAACGUUAAUCGGGGCAGGGUGAGUCGACCCCUAAGGCGAGGCCGAAAGGCGUAGUCGAUGGGAAACAGGUUAAUAUUCCUGUACUUGGUGUUACUGCGAAGGGGGACGGAGAAGGCUAUGUUAGCCGGGCGACGGUUGUCCCGGUUUAAGCAUGUAGGCUGGUUGUCCAGGCAAAUCCGGAUAAUCAAGGCUGAGGUGUGAUGACGAGGCACUACGGUGCUGAAGUAACAAAUGCCCUGCUUCCAGGAAAAGCCUCUAAGCAUCAGGUAACAUCAAAUCGUACCCCAAACCGACACAGGUGGUCAGGUAGAGAAUACCAAGGCGCUUGAGAGAACUCGGGUGAAGGAACUAGGCAAAAUGGUGCCGUAACUUCGGGAGAAGGCACGCUGGUGUGUAGGUGAAGUCCCUGCGGAUGGAGCUGAGACCAGUCGAAGAUACCAGCUGGCUGCAACUGUUUAUUAAAAACACAGCACUGUGCAAACACGAAAGUGGACGUAUACGGUGUGACGCCUGCCCGGUGCCGGAAGGUUAAUUGAUGGGGUUAUCCGUAAGGAGAAGCUCUUGAUCGAAGCCCCGGUAAACGGCGGCCGUAACUAUAACGGUCCUAAGGUAGCGAAAUUCCUUGUCGGGUAAGUUCCGACCUGCACGAAUGGCGUAAUGAUGGCCAGGCUGUCUCCACCCGAGACUCAGUGAAAUUGAACUCGCUGUGAAGAUGCAGUGUACCCGCGGCAAGACGGAAAGACCCCGUGAACCUUUACUAUAGCUUGACACUGAACAUUGAGCCUUGAUGUGUAGGAUAGGUGGGAGGCUUUGAAGCGUGGACGCCAGUCUGCGUGGAGCCAACCUUGAAAUACCACCCUUUAAUGUUUGAUGUUCUAACGUUGGCCCCUUACCGGGGUUGCGGACAGUGUCUGGUGGGUAGUUUGACUGGGGCGGUCUCCUCCCAAAGCGUAACGGAGGAGCACGAAGGUUAGCUAAUCCUGGUCGGACAUCAGGAGGUUAGUGCAAUGGCAUAAGCUAGCUUGACUGCGAGCGUGACGGCGCGAGCAGGUGCGAAAGCAGGUCAUAGUGAUCCGGUGGUUCUGAAUGGAAGGGCCAUCGCUCAACGGAUAAAAGGUACUCCGGGGAUAACAGGCUGAUACCGCCCAAGAGUUCAUAUCGACGGCGGUGUUUGGCACCUCGAUGUCGGCUCAUCACAUCCUGGGGCUGAAGUAGGUCCCAAGGGUAUGGCUGUUCGCCAUUUAAAGUGGUACGCGAGCUGGGUUUAGAACGUCGUGAGACAGUUCGGUCCCUAUCUGCCGUGGGCGCUGGAGAAUUGAGGGGGGCUGCUCCUAGUACGAGAGGACCGGAGUGGACGCAUCACUGGUGUUCGGGUUGUCAUGCCAAUGGCACUGCCCGGUAGCUAAAUGCGGAAGAGAUAAGUGCUGAAAGCAUCUAAGCACGAAACUUGCCCCGAGAUGAGUUCUCCCUGAGACUUUAAGUCUCCUGAAGGAACGUUAAAGACGAUGACGUUGAUAGGCCGGGUGUGUAAGCGCAGCGAUGCGUUGAGCUAACCGGUACUAAUGAACCGUGAGGCUUAACCUU